UUCAUUCAAGGACCUUGACUGGCGCUGCUGAAGCCUGGAGGCUCCGAGGUGAUCAGAGAGGAGAGGAGACAAGAUCGGAAAAGUAAAGAAAAGGGGAGAAAAGGAAUUUAAAAAAGGAGGAGAAGAGCGCGCUAGAUUGGAAACGUUUUUUCCAUUUCUGGGCAGCAAAACACUGCGAUUCUUACUCUUUUUAACCAAUGAAAACUGAUAUGUUCUUAGCUUAAACGUUCUGCUUUUACUCAAGCUUCACCAAAACUAACAUUAAUUUGGAUAUUCGCGGAUGCGUCGCAAGCCCCGGACUUCUCCAGGCGUUUAGCCGUGGUGCGUCUUUACGCCGGUGGAGGCUGUGAGCGAGUGUGUGUGCGUGCGUGUGUGAGCGAGUGUGUGUGCGUGCGUGUGUGAGCGAGAGAGAGGUAGUGGUAGUGGUGGAGGAGGAUCAGCCGGAGUGGCCGACCAGACAGAAGGAUGCUGGAGGGCAAUGACUGCAGAAAGAGAGGAUGAGAUUUGUCGAAAGGCGCUGGAACUGCUCACCGACCUGUGCUCCAAGGGAGAGGUACAGGACGAUCACUGCCUGGACUUCAUUUACUACUUCAGGGACCUGGCAAGACCACGAUACACGAACUCAGAUGUAUCGGUGAGCCUGUUGUCCCUGCUGGUGACCACCUGUGGUCUGGCUCUCUUCAGCGUCUCCCUCUUUGUUUCAUGGAAGAUAUGCUGGGUACCACUGAGCGGCCGCUUCCUCCCAGAUAUCCUCAAGGGGGCACACUUUCUGGGGGGAGACCAACAGCCCGUCCUCACAGAGGUGGACGGGGACGAAAGGGAGUACAGCGAAGAUGGCUGUAUGAAGGAGUCUUCGGGGCCCCCCUCUACUGUGGUUGUCCCGGAGUCAGGCCUGAAAAUAAGCCACACGUCGCCUGACAUACCAUUGGAGACGCAGGCCAAGCUGGAGAAAAACCAGGUCCACACUCUGGCCAGGGACCGGGUUCAGAGACAGAUUACUGAGCCUACUUCAUCUGGACGGCACAACUCCAUCCGUCGUCAGAUGAAUUUGUCCAAUCCGGACUUUAAUCCUGCUCAGUUCCAGCGCCAAGAAUCACUGUCUGGUUUAGGCCGAAUCAAACCAGAACUCUACAAACAGCGAUCGGUUGACGCAGAAGAUGGUCGUCGAACUGACAGCUGUGGGCGUCUUCUGUUUGUCCUAAAGUUUGACUUUGACCUGGAGCAGCUGAUUGUGAAGAUCCACAAGGCCCAUGAUCUUCCAGCAAAAGACUUUUCAGGGACAUCUGACCCUUACGUCAAGAUCUACCUGCUGCCUGACCGCAAAACCAAGCACCAGACUAAGGUGCACCGCAAGACACUCAACCCAGUGUUCGAUGAGGUGUUUCUCUUUCCGGUGGCGUACGCCGAGCUGUCCAGUCGUAAGCUGCACUUCAGCGUCUACGACUUUGACAGGUUCUCUCGCCAUGACUUGAUCGGCCAAGUGGUGGUGGACAACUUCCUGGAUCUUGCCGACUUUCCACGGGAGACAAAACUUUGCCGGGAUAUACAAUACGUAACCUCGGACAACGUGGACCUAGGAGAACUGAUGUUCUCAUUGUGCUAUCUCCCCACGGCGGGCAGGCUCACUAUCACCAUGAUCAAAGCCAGAAAUCUCAAAGCCAUGGACAUCACUGGAGCUUCAGAUCCAUAUGUGAAAGUGUCCUUAAUGUGUGAAGGUCGGAGGCUAAAGAAGAGGAAGACGUCAACCAAGCGUAACACUCUGAACCCGGUGUACAAUGAAGCCAUUGUGUUUGAUGUUCCUCCUGAGAACAUAGACCAGAUCAGCCUGCUCAUAGCUGUCAUGGACUAUGAUCGGUUAGGUUGGACACAAUGAAGUGAUCGGAGUAUGCAGGGUGGGCAAUGAAGCAGAGAGCCUGGGGCGAGACCACUGGAGUGAGAUGCUGUCGUACCCACGGAAACCCAUUGCACACUGGCAUCCACUAAUAGAGUGGGUCGGAACAGUUGUGACGGGGAGUGGAAGCCAAAGAGGUUCCACCAAUUCCCUGAAGACACCACCAUCACCAUGACCACACACACACACGCACGCACGCACGCAAUCACA